rnacentral:lncRNA from 1 species
ACCAUAACUCUCUUUCAAGUUCUUAUUUUAAUUUUUUUUUUUUUUUUUACAUUUUGAACAAUUUUAUAAAAUCCAAUAUGUCUUCUAUGUCUAAAUUUUAUAAAACAGCUACUUCUAUGUCUUCGUCUUGAUAAUCCAUUUGAUGAAGCAGAUAUCAUACCACCAGUUCUUCUUGCUUCUCUAUUCCUAUCCAUUUUCCUUCUUCUCCGGUGAAUCAAAAAACAACUAACCCAAGAUGAGUUCUUACAUAAUUCACCGAAAAAUGAUAGUUUUAAACAACAACACCGGAAUCUGUGGAUACUUCACUUAACAACAACACCACAAAUUAAUUGUAUCAAAUAUCUUAUCUUUAACCAAAUGGUUGUUUAUUUUCUUGAUUUUCUUGUUUUUUUUUCUCCUCUGUGGCUACUUUAACACACAAAAAAUAAACAAUCAACAAAUUAAUUCUUACAAAGAUUUUAUCUUUAAGCAAAGGGGUGUCUGUGUACUGGCUAAGAAAAUGGAGAUGUUUUGUGG